UCCAGAUGCAGUGGCACAUGCCUGUAGUCUCAGCUACUCGGGAGACUGGGACAGGAGGUUCACUUUCGUCCAGGAGUUCUGGGCUGUAUUACACUAUGCCAAUCGGAUGUCUGCACAGUUUGGCAUCAAUAUGGUGACCUCCCUGGAGCUGGGGGGCCACCAGGUUGCCUAAGGAGAGAUGAACUGGCCCAGGUCAGAAACAGAGCAGGUCAAAACUCCCAUACCGAUCAGUAGUGGGAUAGCGCCUGUAAAUAGCCACUACACUCCAGCCUGAGCAACAUAGUAAGACCUCCAU
rfam:Otolemur garnettii contig077455, whole genome shotgun sequence.